GAUGAACGCUGGCGGCGUGCCUAAUACAUGCAAGUCGAGCGAACAGACGAGGAGCUUGCUCCUUUGACGUUAGCGGCGGACGGGUGAGUAACACGUAGGUAACCUACCUAUAAGACUGGGAUAACUUCGGGAAACCGGAGCUAAUACCGGAUAAUAUUUCGAACCGCAUGGUUCGAUAGUGAAAGAUGGCUUUGCUAUCACUUAUAGAUGGACCUGCGCCGUAUUAGCUAGUUGGUAAGGUAACGGCUUACCAAGGCAACGAUACGUAGCCGACCUGAGAGGGUGAUCGGCCACACUGGAACUGAGACACGGUCCAGACUCCUACGGGAGGCAGCAGUAGGGAAUCUUCCGCAAUGGGCGAAAGCCUGACGGAGCAGCGCCGCGUGAGUGAUGAAGGUCUUCGGAUCGUAAAGCUCUGUUAUUAGGGAAGAACAAACGUGUAAGUAACUGUGCACGUCUUGACGGUACCUAAUCAGAAAGCCACGGCUAACUACGUG
rnacentral:rRNA from 1 species